CCUUAGUACGGCGAAGUGAAGCGGUAAAAGCUCCAAAUUUGAAAUCUGGUACUUUCAGUGCCCGAGUUGUAAUUUGUAGAAUUUGUCUUUGAUUAGGUCCUUGUCUAUGUUCCUUGGAACAGGACGUCAUAGAGGGUGAGAAUCCCGUUUGGCGAGGAUACCUUUUCUCUGUAAGACUUUUUCGAAGAGUCGAGUUGUUUGGGAAUGCAGCUCAAAGUGGGUGGUAAAUUCCAUCUAAAGCUAAAUAUUGGCGAGAGACCGAUAGCGAACAAGUACAGUGAUGGAAAGAUGAAAAGAACUUUGAAAAGAGAGUGAAAAAGUACGUGAAAUUGUUGAAAGGGAAGGGCAUUUGAUCAGACAUGGUGUUUUUUGCAUGCACUUGCCUCUCGUGGGCUUGGGCCUCUCAAAAAUUUCACUGGGCCAACAUCAAUUCUGGCAGUAGGAUAAAUCAUUAAGAAUGUAGCUACCUCGGUAGUGUUAUAGCUUAUUGGAAUACUGCUAGCUGGGAUUGAGGACUGCGCUUCGGC
rnacentral:rRNA from 1 species